rnacentral:misc_RNA from 1 species
UAAUUUUUUUAAAUGGUUUGAGACAGCAUAGACUUAUUGCUACAAUUCUAUUGCAUUUAGUACUUCUCCUGUGCCAAAUAUCUCGUACUCAAAACAUCACAAUAUCAAUUAGUUUUAAAUGUCAAAUGUUAAUACCAUAUGGAAAAUUAAAGCAUGAUAGAUUUUUUUUAGCAUGUAAAUUAUGUUUGACCUAAAAUAAGAUGCCCCAAGCAAAAAACGUUCGUUGGCUGCAGAGAGUACUAAAAUGAUCCAUAGACAGUUUGAUGAGAAAGGGGGUUAAUGACAUCGAACCGGAAUGACUCCGUGAUAGGAAAAUCUUCGUCACUAUUGAAGAAACCUAGCAAAAUUUCUUCAAGAAACGAAGAGAAAAAGCCAAAUAUAUUCAGGAGAAUUCAAAACAUGGUGGCGGGAUUAUUCUCAUUCUGGAAAGUGGGAGAAGAGAAACUGGCACAUCAUUUUUUCUGAAUACUUAAGGGAAAAUUUAAUUGCCUUCCGGAGUAAAAAAACAAAAUCAAAAAACAUUCCAUGGACAAUUGCAAAAUGUAAUUACAUUGAGAAGAGAUUGAUGUCAUACCAAGAAGGAUUUGUUUAUUUAGGAGAUGCUCUACGGUCACUCCAAAAAACAUACCAUGUUACCCCCAGAUGCUAUUUCGCCAUGAAUAUGAGAACGAACUUGGAAAAAAACUUCCAAAAAUGCCGCAGGGUUAGAGGAAAAGCAAAAUUCAGCAUAUUUGGAAAGAAGUGGGAAUAAAACAUGUUUUAAAAAUUU